CAGGAAGAAUUUAGUUAAGCUAUUUCCUGAGGAGGUUCCUCCAGCUGAUGGAGGACUUCCUCCUUCAACUGUCUGCCAUUCUUUUAUAUAUUUCCAAUGUUGGCCCCUUAGAAAUUCCUGAGGGGAUUUACCCUCAAAAGAUGAGAACUUUAGACAAAUGACUACUCACAACAAAGACAGGGAACAGAGACAGGCCUGGAGCACCUGCCACAGCUGAAGGGAAAGGCUCAGAAACACAACAAAGCAGUAGGUGACCUCUUCGUCUCUGUCAGCUGAUGGGGAGCUCGUUAACUACAUUCUAUCAACUGCCUUGGGACUUAGGUCCUUGACAAUUUACUGUGCUCUGAUAGAGAGGUUACAACUAUCAGCAAUGGCCCUGGGUGCCACCAGAUAGUGCAUAACUAUGUAAUACAUUAAUAUAAAUAUAUGCCUACAUUUGUAUAUGUAUAUGUACAUGUGUGUAUAUGUAUGCAUGUGUACGCAUGUGUGUGUGUGUGUGUGUGUGUGUGUGUGUGUGUGUGUGUGUGUGUGUGUGUGUAUCCCUGUCUGGUGACAGCUUCACAGAUCCAUUUGUUCACACCAAGUCAUUCAUAUUCCAUUCAUUUAUCAUCUACUCAUUUAUUCAUCCAUGUAUCCAUCCAUCCAUCCAUCCAUCCAUCCAUCCAUCCAUCACUCAUUCAACUAGCCAUUGAUACAUUCAUCCAUCUACCCAGCCACCCAGUCACUCAGGUCUCCUUUUGAAGAGGUGCCUUCUAGCUAAGUGUCACCCUCCAUUGUUCUUUAGAUCUCACAUUACUCUCCUGAAGGGAGUUGUUCUCUCCGAGUUCUCUGCUCCAACUCCUGCAUCAUAAAAUUUCCAGAUUUUGCUGUCUCAUUUUCAAUGGCAGAAAAUGAGAUUUACUUUUUAAAAACCCCUCAAAGAACUUCCCUGAGCAUUCUUUAUCCUAAAGCUGCUAUCCUGGUUAUCUGGUUUGCUUUGGAACAGUGGCUCUUGAGAAAGUAGCCAUUAUUCAUUAAUGUCUACAUUUCCUCUUCCACAGUUUCCUGAAUGCAACCUCCAAAAACUUGCUCUUGUUAACGUCAUCCAUGACCUCUACCAUAUUGAACUCAAUACUAGACCUGUCUCCAUCUCUCUGGCUCUGACAUUAACCAUAGCAACAGUAGAUUUUUCUUUCCUCCUUGAAGUUCUUUUGUUACCUGGCCCUUGACACACACCCUCCCUGCCUGUUUUUCCUCCAACCUUCAUGAUGGCUCCUUCUGUAUUGUAAGUCCUUCCACAUCCUUCCAAUAUCUUAAAAUGGGGCUGAGUCUUUGGACAUCUGAUCUCUACUCUGUCUUAUUUUAUUGAUUCUAUAGAUACCUAGAUGGUUAUAGAUAUAUAGUCCAUACAUUGAGUCCUGUGAUCCAUUCAUUAAAUUAUUCAGUUGAUACUUCACUUGGUCAUAGAAGGCCUAAAUACCCCUUGCCCAAACCAAACCCCAGGUCUUCCUUGUUCUCACCUUGCUUCUCCCUUACAUUCCUCUUCCUACAAUCCCAGGCAAUGACAAUGCCAUCUUUUGAGUCACUUGGCCAAAUGCCUUGAGUGUCCUAGUCACUUCUUUUAAAGCUCUACUCAGCACCAAAUCCUGUGGGCCACACCUGCAGACUGCAAGCUACAUCAUUCACUGCACUGCAGCUUCAAGCCAGGAUCUCUACACUGAGAAGAGAAGAUAGAUGGCCUCAUGGCCAUCCUCUCAGUGCUGUCUUGGACCUCAGUCAGUUUCUAGCAUGGAAUCAAUGUGUUUCUACAAAAAAAAAAAAGGGGAUAAGACUCGGUCACUCUGAUUGUUAAGGAAGUCUCGUGCACAUCCUUUGAGAUGUGGCCUUCAUCAUCUCUCCUACGUCUUUGCACAUCACUCCCUCUGUGCUCAUUUUAUAAGUCUCCCCUCUCUUGCUCUCUCGCUCCCUCCCUCUCUCUUAAACAGAAGGCUCCUGAUUCAGAAUGUUCCACGUGUUUUUCUCUGCUGUCCCUUUCUAUGUCUGUCCCUUUCCCCCUAUUUCCUCCAGGUAACCUCCCAGCAGCCCCUUCCUCCUCCCCUGGUUGACUUUCCCCCCAGUUUCUUCCCUCCCUCAGGUGACCUUCCUUUAUACUCAUCCUUCCAGGUGAUCCUCAGUCAGAUCCCUCCUCCUCCCCCAGGUGAUCCUGGAUCAUCUUCCCUUCACCACUCGGUGACCCUCCAUAGCCACGCCCUCCUCCCACAGGUGACCUCCAAUCACCCACUCUCUCUUCUUUAAGUAGACUUUCCGUCAGCCUCCCCCUUCCUUACAUGAUCCUCCAUGAGCACUUUUCUCCAACCCAGAUGAUCCUGCUUCCUCCUCCUUCACCAAGUGACCCUCCAUCCCCCCUUCACCAGGUGACCCUGUAUCCUCUUCCUUCACCAGGUGGCCCCCACACCAGUCCCCAUAUUCCCUUUAGGUCUCUUGCUUAGUUUUACCAUCUCAGUGAGACUUUCAUCAACACCCUAUCUAAAUUUUAUCACACUUAUUUUUAUCUGCCUUUCAUGCUUGGUUUUUUUUUUUUUUUUGAGAAAAACUCCAACCCAUUAUAUAUUUUUCUAUCUCAUUAUCUUCUGCACUAGAAAAGGCAGAGCUGUGGGAAGCAGUGUUUGCCUCACAUCAGAACCCUCCCUGCAGCAACCUCCAGCUCCAUCUGCUCCUAACCGGAUGUGGGGCCAUGGGACAGUGUUGGCCUUAUGGGCACCCUGCUAUUUUCCAGAACCACUCCUGACCCUCAUCCUAACCUGUCAGCCGUUUAGCAGAUCAUCUCAGUAACACAUCAUGAGGAGCACCUGAGCUCCUAUUCUGGGCCAGGGGAAGAAUCACAAUGACUAUUUAAUGGCUUUUCCUGAGGCUCCUGCAGAGCAUUUCCCAGCUGAGGGUCAGUUUGGAGACUCCUUGACUCCUUGAGUUCCACUGUCAGUGCCUCACUGUCCCUGCCAAGAGUUCAAAGGACACUCAGUUUUUGCCUCAUUAAUAUUAACUUCAUUGCUGUGGGGGCUUGUCCUGAUGACAUCCUCUCUUGUUAAAUAUUCAUAGCUGAAGUGAGUUGUGCUCUGUAGAUUAACUGUUACUGAGGGACAUCGUAGCUAAUUGUCAUAGUCUCCCUGACCCUUGAGAGUCAGUGUCCUUGUCAGAAAGGUCUAACCUGGUCUGUUUUGGGGAAGGGUUUGGGCUUGAUAAGCCCCUCAGAUAAUGUCCUUCUUGGGUGCACCUAAGGCCAAAGACCAGGGGGCCUGUGUGGGAGAAGCCUGUGUCAUAUUCCUCAUUCAGUGGGCAGGACUCUGCCACCUGUAAUUGGACAUAUCCUUCUUCAGCCUCAUCAAUAAUGGAUGUUCAUGUGAAUGAAACUCUCUAAACCAAGUCCUCACUUUACAGAUAAGAACCACACUCAGAGAUAUGAGGGAAUUAACUAGUUAUAUACUGAGUUGGGGAGACUGAAGAAAAUUCCAUGACUUUUACUAGGCUACUUACUUGUGAAAUGAGUGCCGGUCAUCUGUAAUCAAGUCAUGUUCAGCUCUCCUAGAGCCCUUUAGAGUCAAUCUGCUUAUCAAAGUGUUGUCAAUAGCAGUCAGCAAGGAUUAACUGACCCACCCUUGACAGUGCCCACCCAGUGUUGACGGAUACAUAUAAGUAAACGCUGUUCAGAGCAAGGGUGUCCAGCCCAGGUGCCUGCAUAACCACUACCUAACACUAUCCAGUUACCACACAGCCAGUCACAGAAGUCCAAUUCAAUCUACUUUGUUUAAGCUCAAGGUCCUGCCCGCCUCUAAGGACUAGAUAGAGGUUCUGCCACACACUGUCGAAAGAAACUCCAUACGGUUCUCUACUGUGGUUCCGCCAUCUCAUAUUCCCAUACACGGCAAACAGCAUUCGAAUUCUCGCCAUUAUUAACUUCUGGCUUUCAGAGUGGGCUUGCAGAAGUGGGGUCGAAUCCGGGGCACAAUUGUUGCUGGAGUAUUAACCAAUUUAUGACUAGUCUGUUACUAAAAACACAAAGCUUUGUGGAGGUGGCUUGGGGUUUGAUAUAGCUAAAAUUUAAUUUUUAAAAUCUUUGAAAAAUUUUGAAAGGACUGAUCUAAUGCUAAGUAUUCACUUUACAGUAAUAAAUAGAUAAACAGGGCACCUAGGGAGCUUGGCUUUGCUUGAUACCAUUUUUUUUUUUUUUGGUUCUUUUUUUCGGAGCUGGGGACCGAACCCAGGGCCUUGCGCUUCCUAGGCAAGCUCUCUACCACUGAGCUAAAUCCCCAACCCCUGCUUGAUACCAUUUAAAUUAUGUUCAAAAGAUCCAUAUUUAAAGUUAGAGGUAAGGCCAUUUUCCCAGAUUCUGAUUUUUUUGCAACAAUUCCAACUUAAGCAUACUUUAAUCUAUGUCUCCUAAUCCACAACCUUGAAGAAAUAAGAGGCAGUAAUCCUCUUUGGAAAGACUGCUUUGGAAGAAUGCCUUGGCCCUGUGCUGUUGCAAGGUUCAAGCCAUGUGGCUACCACUGGUAGGGGUGGAGUAGCCUCCACUGAGCCCCUAGUGCACUUGGGGAGGCAGACCUGUAAGGUAACAGUGGCAGGACUACCAUAGUCUUGCUUCCAUGUGGCCCACGACUGUUUCUGGGGUUAGGGCUUUAUGGAAUUAAUAUAACAAAACUUGGGAAGUGAGUUUGUCCUACAAAGCCAGGAGACCCUCCAUGUCGGUUCCCUCCUCGAUGAGGUAGGGACAGCUAGGGGACCACAUGGAGAGGGUGGCUGAGAGCAUUUAUGACUCAUUGUCUUGGGUGCAUUAGAAAAGACAUCCAGUGGGAGUCUCACAGACUCGAGCCACCUCUGACAUCAUCCUGUACUGCAAACUUGCUUCCAAGGAGUCCAAGAUGGUCACUACAGUGUGGGGCUGACUGUACGUAGGUCAAGCUCGCUCAGAGAAGGAAGGGGAAGCAUGGGCCAUUCCUCAACAUACACAAGUCCUCUCGUGGCUUUCUCCAAGCCUUUGUCUCUUUCCAUUACACUGAGCCUCCUUACAAUGUGGGGGACCCAUAGCCUCAGACAAUUCACGCCCAUCCCAGGGAGACUCUUGCACUGAAGCCGUGUCUCAAAAGCACACUCGCAAUUCUCAGAUUUACUUGUGUUUUUUUUUUCUUUAAUUCAACAAACUCUGCAAAAAUAAAUGAAAUUUCGCAAUUAGCUUCUUAUUGUCCCUGAACUCAGUAAUGAAGGAAUUGGGGGUGUUUUUCUUUAUCCUUUUCGUGUUUCAUUGUACGCUAUAAUGAAUGGUGCCAUUUACUCUCAGGUAACUAUGUGGAGUGACACGAGCUAAUUGCAUACUUUGCAACCUCAAAUCAGCAGAAUCUCACAAUAUAUCAUGAUAAUGCUCCUGUAUUUCACUGAGGAAACGGGCUGUUGAAUACCAGGUUAAUUAUGCAUGCAUUUAAUAGAAUCAUGGCGUGGGGUGGUCGGUGGGGGAGUUGAGGGAGAGAUGUGGAGUCAGCUUCUUCACACACAUACACCCAGUACUUAUUACUACAGCGUUGUCAUCCGUUGCCUGAGUGUGUAUGUGUGUGCAUUUGUUUGUACAAUUAUAUAAAAAAGCCCCUGCAAUGCGGUUUUUGCUAUGCACAGUAUAUUCAUGGUUAGUAUUGUAUUGGUUCACAAGGAAACUUAGGAAUUAGUAAGCAAAGGAACAAUUUCUGGGUUUUUGCUUUUGUCUCUGUUUUUUUUUUUUUUUUUAAAUAAAUGAGGAAACUGAGGCUCAGGAAGCUUGAAAUAGCCAUCAGGCUUUUUUUCUACCACAGUUAUGUAGCUGGUCCAAGACAGAAGGCAGCAAAAUACUAUGCUCUUUUUAAUUCAGACACUGAAUUAAGUCUACAGCUCACACGUGUGGGACUGCCCUCAACUCUACACACUAAAGCCCUUAGGAUCGUCACCACUUAAAUGAUUCCUAGGUCUGCUUACUUGCAUCCUCAUCAUCUUAAGAGAUGCUCAGAAGGUCAUCAUUGGGGGGCUGCACCACUGUGUGAAUCUGGGGUGCUCCUGGCAUUAGCCUGUUCAGAAUACCUCCCUCAUCUCAAGAUGCAUAUCCUCAUCUUCUGUGCACACACCUCUUCAAGGUCUUGUUUCUUUCCCUUUCCUCUCUAUCAUUGUGUGCAUCGUGCUCUGUAGCCCUGUGUAUGACUUUCUGCCACAUGCUCAGGUAGCAGUUGGUGACAUAACAUUGAUGGGGAUUGAGAGUGCUCUGAGAGCCUCUUCAUGGUUUUUGACUGCUCUCACAUCCUGGGUCUCCGUGGUGGCUCCCAGAGCUUAGGUCCUUGAACAGAAAGUAUUAGACAAGUCCUGUGUUUCUGCCACCACAGAGCCAUGACCCAAUGACAGGAGUAUCUGCUCAUCAAGUAAUGAAUUCUCACUAGCUGCCUGGUGUGGGCACCAUUUCCUUAGUUCUUGCUGGGACUCCACAGUGAAUGAUGUCCUGCUGGUUUCACAAAAGAAGAGACAGGUAGCUCACAGGGAGAAGUUGCUCUCCUAGGUAUCCAAGGAGAUUGGAAAGGGUAAGGGAGCUGACAUGUUUCUUGAUAAUGGGGCCUACAAAGUACAAUUGUUGGUUUCCAACAGCUAUGAACAUAUUGUUGCUGGUCCCUGGCUGUGGACAGAUCUCAUCCAAUAUCCUGUUGGAAGUGGAAUAGAGACCACUGACCCUCUGCCUUCAAGUUCCAAAUAGGGUGAUGUUGAGUCCAGAAUUUUCCCUCUUGAGAAGGAUCCAGGUUACAAUGCUGCCACUGAGCUAUUGAGGGAAGGGUGAGACAGGGUAUAUGUCCUAUACCUGGUGUGUACAGGGCCUGGAGAGCACCUCCUGGCAGACUCAGUUGCGUCUACAAUGAGUCAUUGCUAGCAAUAGGGUAAAGGAAGUCAGUUUCCCUACACAGAUAUUAAAGAUGUUGGUAGAAGCCCCUUUGUGGAGUUAGAGCAUGGAGAGCUUCACACACAUAUGUUUAUGUGUUCACACAUAUGUUAAUUAUUCAUGUACCCAUUGACAACAAGGCUGCUCCCAUUUCUUUGUCUUUGUGAAUUGUGCUGUGGUAAACUUACUGUCCUGUGGUCCCCAUUUCACCCUUGCCACAUUAUGAUGGAAACUGUAGAUGAGAUUCCAGUCAACAUGGAGGGUAGACCCAGACUCUAUUCUGUGAAGACACGCCUUGGCCUGUAGCAGUCCUUUUGUAUACUUGGGAUUUGCAAAGCCUGGGUUGGGCUUGCAUCUGUGACCCAUUAGCAGGUAAGCCUCUGCCCUGAACCCUCUCAACCCAGGCCUCUGUUCUUCCUGAUGUUCUGCAAAUUGACUUUGCUGGGAUUGGAUAACUUCAUAGGCUGAUUGAGGAAACCACAUAAUUAAAACCAUCAAAGGCCUCUGGAUCCAAGGUUGACCCACAUGGACCAGCCUUGGCUUGGCAGAUAUAAACAGUAUUGAACCACGGUAGCAGAGCAAAUGUAAAGUAGGAACAGGCUAGAAGAGAGGAAGGUCAAGAAGCAGAGAAAAAACACAGCUCUCUCUCUCUCUCUCUCUCUCUCUCUCUCUCUCUCUCUCUCUCUCUGUGUGUGUGUGUGUGUGUGUGUGUGUGUGUGUUAUAUGUCCAGGCUCUGUGGCAUGGCCUUUGUGUCUGGAGAUUAUGUGCACUGUAUAUGUAUGUCUGUGUCUUGUGUGUGCAUGUGUACACCAGCAGUAUGUAUACAUAUAUACAUCACCAUGAAGGGUACUAGGGGGCUCUAUUGGCUUUUGUCCCCAGUACACAGCCUCCUUUGAAGUAGCUCUUAAAAGCUAAGGUAUCCGAUGUUCCUCACCCAAACUCCUAAUAAAAUGCCUAGCUUUCCCUCUCUCCUUAGACUCUACCUGACCCCUGGGCUACUACCUAUAGGAGCUACAGGCUACUAAAGGGUCCAGAGGUUGAGAGCUUGACAAACAGUGGGGUGCAGGCCCCUUUUUUUCCAAACACAGGGAAGAGCUGCAGUGUGAGCAUGAGAGGUCCUCUGCUUGGCUAGAAGUGGCUCAGAUGGGGAAGGGCAUGCUCAUUGACCCCCCAGUUCAGGGCACAGUGUGAAGAAAAAGGUUGCAAGAGGUGGAGAAGGAAGGCUUGGAUGGUGAAAUGGUGCUUGAGAAGUAGGUGUGAUCUCUAGUCAUUUGUUCAUCUGUCUGUCCAUCUAUCCAAGGCUCAUCAUGUGACAGAGAGAUAUUCUCCAGCCUGGUCAGCAGUGUGGAGGGAAACCAUCAAAUAGAAGAUGGUGCUGCCUCAUACUAGCUUGGAGGGACAAUAUUGCUGACACAGCCUCGCUUGCUCCUCACAAAGUUCCACAUACUGGAUAAAGGCCAUUUUCCUUCCUUAUCUGCAGAGAGUUACAGCAAGUUCUAGAGCUGUGUAGAUAACACAGUAGCAAGGAGAGCCAUGGUUUCAAUUCCAGGUGUGUGCCGCAGCACCAGGUAUUUCUUAUAAGCCCCUGUAGUGCAGACACAGUCCCUUUCUAGCUCUGCUUUUAUUUCAAUACUCUUUUCUGCUUUCUUUUCCUUUAGGGGUGUCAUUAAGAGCUUACUUCAGCAUGGAGAUACCCCAUGUUCAGAAUAAUCAUACUGCCAGGCAUGCAGGCAACAUGACCAGGGUCAGGAAUCACUAUCUAAGUUCAGCAAUCAGGAUGCCACUGAGACGGACAUUCUAGGAUGUUCUGGGACCUUCAGUCUCACCUUAUCUCUGCCUCUUAGUAUUCUUAGAUCCUCAUUUUCUCUUACUACCUCCCCUUCCCUCCUCUGUCCCCUUUCAUAUGUAUGUUUGUGUAUAUACAUAUAUGAUCUUAUAUAAUCUAUAUUCUGAACACUAGAGAAAACAUACAAUAUUAUGCAACAUACAAUAUUUGUUUUCCUGUGUUUCCAAAUCUGGAUUACUUUGACUAACACUAUAAUCUUCAGUUUUAUCAAAUUUCCUUCAAGUCACAUAGUUUCACUACUCUUUAUGGCCAACUAUAUAUCGCCUUAUAUAUGCCACACUUUCAUUCAUCCGAUGGUACAUACUGAGGCUCAUUCCACAGCCUGCCUCUUGGGACUUGCGUGGCAACAAGUGUAUAAGUAUCUAUGUGGUGUGUUGAGUCCUUGGGCUAAUAUCAAGGCAUGCAGCUGGAUUAUGUGGUAGUUCUUGUUUUGGUUUUUUAAUUUUCAGAGAAAACUCCAUACAGGUUUUCAGGUGUCUGCAGAAGUUCCCAUUCUCACCAGCAGUGUGGAAUAUGGGGAAAGAUCCUCUUCCCCUACAUGACCACAAGCAUUUGUUGUCCCUCUUCUCAGUGAGGGCCAUUCUGAUUGGUGAGAUGGUAUCUCAAUAUACUUUUAAUUUGCAUUUCUCUUGUGUCUGUGAUUUCUUUAUGGAUAACAUGUAUAUGCUGGAUUAUUUCUAAGUGAAGGAGAGUCAGAAAAGAUUGAGUUAAAACCUAAAACCAAAACUGGAAUGGCAGAUAGCUCUAUUCUAGUCAACCUGCACAAGCUGGACAAGAGGACUGCCUGCUCUGUAAUGGGAGCUUUGACACACACCUUUCAAGGAAAGAAGAGUCCAGCAAUAGGGGGUAGUAUAGAGAUUGUUUUUCUCAGGCUGCAGGGAAACCUUCUUGGCAUAGUGACCUGUGGGGGACUGGUGACCUGGAACUGGGAUCAACAGAUUUGACUUCAGCACUAGGGUUGGUAUGAUCAGAACUGCUCUAUUUGAGAGGAACAGAGAGGCCAUGGGGUCAGAGGUCACUGGUGGUGGGGGAAAGGAUCUUCCAUUCCAGAGCUAUGGAACUGUGGAAAUGUUGCUACUAGAGUAAUAGUAUAUAAGGCAGUCAGGACUUUGAUCAAAGAAGUAACUGAGCUACAUUUUAGAAACUGGCUGUGCAUGGCUUAGACUACAAAGAAAUGGGGGAGGGUGAUUAGGAUAGUGUGCUGUGGCCAUAAUCCAAAUAACAGGGGAUGUGGACUAGAGUAUUGUGGCAGGAGUAAGGGUGAAGCCUUGCAGAGAGCAGAAAAGCUAUUGGCAGAGGGGAUGAAGCAUCCAUGUGAGGGAAAGGAAGAAAUAAUGAUUAAGUUUUGCCAAAGGAGUCCCAAAUGGUACUGUCAUUUGUCAAUAUGGAAAUGAUGGUGAAGAUUGUCUCCAGGAUGGAAAAGAGGACUCUGCUUUUGAAGCUUAGCUAAGAAUGUAUGUUAACCAAUAAACGGAUGUCCUGUGAAGGGUCAGGAAUAUCAGCCUGCGCCAGGAAUAUUGGCAAGAUAAGAGGCAGAGAGAGCGUACAGGUGGGACUCAAAGUUGGGACUCCAGAAAGGGUCACCUGCAGAGUAACACUGAGAAGAGUGUGGGGGCCAAGCCUGAGACCAGAGAUAAGGAGAAGCAGUGGAAAGAUCAUCUACGGGGGAUGCUGUGAUGUGGCAGUGUGCAGAUGUGCCAUGCAUUGUUUGAAUUAAUAAAGGCUAGAAACUGGCUGGGUCAUUGGUUCAGAGUUGCUCAAGGGAGCACAUCUGUGAAAUGCUUUUAGUGAGAGUGUCACACAGGUGAGGCCAUGGAGGGGAAACAGGUGCCAGCCCCACGAGGCAGUAGAAUGGUCACUUGAGAGGGACCUGGAAGUUGUAGAGCCUCUACCCCCACCCCAGUGUGUCCCUUUUGCAUUAAAUAGUUGCUGCUAUAUCAUAUGACGAGAUUCCAGUAGCAAUGGGAAUGGUAGAUGGGAGGCUGUUGAUACAAGAGAGGUUCAGGAGCAACCAUAUGAGCGGAUGGGAUGGAUGGGAUGGGGUGCAGACCAUGACACGGGUUCUCAGCGGAAGUGUAAAGUUCUAUAUGUGGACAGGUAUGUCAGUAUGGCAGCAUAGCUAGAAGCUGGGAGAUGGGGGAGAGAAGUGAGUUCACAGAAGACCAGGAGCUGUAGCCCAGCCUGGUUGCUUCCAGGUGGAGCGUACAUGGGAACAAAGCUCUAGAGGUGUAUGAGUCACUUUUUAAUUGCUAUGGUGACACCGUAGCAACUGCAACUUAUGGAAGAGUUUUUUUAGGCUCAGGGUUCCAGAGGGAGAGAGUCCAUAGCGCUGGGAAAGGUAUGGCAAUGGAAACAGCAGAGAUGGCAUCUCUAUCUAUAAGUGAGGAACAGAGAGAGUGAGCGAACAAGAGACGACACAGCAAGGUUCUACCUCCUGAAGCUUCCAUAUCCUAAACAGCAGCACUGCCAGCAAGGAACCAGGUGCUUAGAAUGUGACAGCAUCAGCGCCUAAUGCAUCUUUGGGAAUGCUUCAUCUGCCCAACAUUGUGGAACAAGAGGACGUGCUAUACAGAAGACUUUCUCAAAUAGCUAGCAUUUGCCAACUUGAGCUGCAAAGCACAGAUACACAAGCCAAUUCUGAUAGACUCAGAAAUACUUGCAAGCAUUUCUAAGGGUCUCAGAACUGUUGACAUUUCUUUCUCACUGGACCAAGGACUCUACCGACACCAAGUACCAGAUGCAGAACUGAAGCCCUAGGCUGUACCUGUAGGUCAUGGAGGAGCACCUGCUCGAACUGUUCACUAAGAGUCAACAAAGAUGAGAGCCAUCUAGAACAUUCCUCACAAGGUCUGAGGGAAUAGUUGAGGCCAUCUGGCAUGUGUCCUUGCUCAUGAAGAUAUAUGAGAAUGACAGAGGCCAGGCCUGAGGAAGAUGGUGGAUGCUAGAGAGAGUGGACAGCAACUGGAUGGAAAGUGGAAGACUGAUGUGCAACCCUGAGUCCUAAUCAGCUGGCUCAGAGCCCCUGUGAGCAGACAUUGUGCUAUAAAGAACCCUAAUGUAAGCAGA